AUUUAAAUAGCUUAAAUAAAAAGUUUAAUAUUGAAGAUAUUAAGAUAGGUUUAUCCUUUUAAAUA
rnacentral:tRNA from 1 species